rnacentral:rRNA from 1 species
GAUGAACGCUGGCGGCGUGCCUAAUACAUGCAAGUCGAGCGAACAGAUGAGGAGCUUGCUCCUCUGACGUUAGCGGCGGACGGGUGAGUAACACGUGGAUAACCUACCUAUAAGACUGGAUAACUUCGGGAAACCGGAGCUAAUACCGGAUAAUAUAUUUAACCGCAUGGUUCAAUAGUGAAAGACGGUUUUGCUGUCACUUAUAGAUGGAUCCGCGCCGCAUUAGCUAGUUGGUAAGGUAACGGCUUACCAAGGCAACGAUGCGUAGCCGACCUGAGAGGGUGAUCGGCCACACUGGAACUGAGACACGGUCCAGACUCCUACGGGAGGCAGCAGUAGGGAAUCUUCCGCAAUGGGCGAAAGCCUGACGGAGCAACGCCGCGUGAGUGAUGAAGGUCUUCGGAUCGUAAAACUCUGUUAUUAGGGAAGAACAAAUGUGUAAGUAACUAUGCACGUCUUGACGGUACCUAAUCAGAAAGCCACGGCUAACUACGUG